UGGGACUUUGGGGUAGGUUAAAUUUACGGAGAUACGACUGACCCACGUUGAAAUCAAGCUUACCUCUUAAACCAUGUCUAUCCCUGUCACUCAUGAAGAAAUAGAUCAAGAGAUUGAAAGGUUCCAAGCCAAGAGACAGAGGAUUGAACAAGAACUCAAUGGCCAGCAGCAAAGCAGCAAGAUUGGUUUUGGUUCUCAAGGACAUUUCGAUAAGGAUUUAUAUGCACCAGCUGGGAGCAAGUACGAGGGAUUUGUGACUUCAAUUGGUACCAAUGAUGAUGAGG